GUACCAUCAAUCCCUAUGUUGGUUAGCUAGUUUCUACCAUGUUGUACUGGGGGACCCUAUUGCCUUCGAUUAACAGGGAUAGUGUUAUCAUUCAAACACAUGCAAGGCAAGUUUCUGCCAUGUUGUACUGGGGGACCCUAUUGCCCUCGAUUCACAGG